CAUUUCUUCGCAUGUACCC
rnacentral:snRNA from 1 species